GUUGUAGAAAUCUUGCGUUGGUAGACAAUGGAUAUCAAAUUCUGCGGUGCCACAACAACCCAUUAUUUCCAGAAAAUAAUUGCAUCAAGAAUAAAUAAAGUUCUUUUAGAAGAUUUAUCAAAUCUUGCAGUACCACCUGCAAAAUUCGAAAGAUUAAAAGGACACAUUAAAACUGUAGUAACACAAUCAAAGGGUUGGAUGUUCUACGACCUUCCAUUCAAAGUACAGGUCCAUCCCUGCUUUUCGGAAUUACAUGUUGAAUUCAUAGGAAGCACCAGCGAGGGUCUCUCAAUAAGUGAAGUUACAGAAGGCAAUGAAAACGAAGAAUUUGAUCUUACAGCCGAUUUUGCAGACGACAAUAGCAACGGAAGCUAAGAAUUCUGACGAAAAUAGAACGUGGUUAGAAAUACAGCACUGCGCCGGAAACCCUGGGUUCGUCUUGUUAAAAGUCCACAUGAAAGACAACAGUGAGCAUUGGUGUGGAUUAAGUAACAUCGUUUCCAACCAAGAUGGCUCCAUUAACGAGUUCUUCCUGUCACCAGUUGCCUUCACUGAUGAGUUCUUUCUGAUGCUUUGUUUGCGAUGUAGCGUGGAGAAUCUUCAUUAUACAGCUUACUGCAAAGACGUGGAUAAACUCUUUGAUAACGAAUUGGACGAAGAAGAUGAUUUCGACAAGGAUGAUGCCCUUCACGAAUUUUUCAUCGUUACACAAGAGGGACCCGCUGUGAAGACAACCGUGCUUUUUGCAGGACAAAGAGAUGUCCAUACAGCAAUCUGGAGACAGUUUUUCUGUCCUCCAAUAGGGAAAGCUCUGCAGUCGUAUCAUCUUAAAAACGUGUUUCUUUGGGAAUGCGAGAAUGUGCCACUACAGGAAUGGACAGACGAGAAAAUGGUAGCAAGAGUUACAGGUCUUUUGCAAAGAUUACAGUAUAACCUUUUCACAAGGAAUUGUCCCCAUUACAUUCUACCUCAGAACAAUUUAUUCAAAGACAUUGACCAAUCGUUACUUUUCUACGCUGGCAUGAGGGUUCAGACGGCCAUUUUCAAAUCCGAGGUGGUGUGGAUAGAGAACGAUGUAUUGCUGUUCCUUACCACCACACAAAAGUCGGACAUCUCUCGGAAGGAAGCUCAGGAAAACUUGUAUCAUGGCUUUAAAGUACGUUAUUGAGGCUAUGGUUUCAGGUUGUGUGAAAAAGGAAAACGAAAACGAGGAGUCGACAAAAUAUGGGCUUAGCGCGGAAGCAAUGAAUUCUUUGAGGUCGGAGCUCGAACAAUCCUUCAACAAAGAUAUGACAGAAAUUAUAUUGCAGUAUAUAAAUGCUUCAUUGAAGCAUCGGCCGGAUAAUAUAACAAGGACAUUACAUCUGCAGCAGGGCAGACCCCUAAACAACUUCUGAUUGCCUCGAAGACUCAACUUCUGGACGGUUUAGCUUCAUUGGCGAAACACUGUGAUGAACUGGGGGAACAUGGUGGAAAUCAUAACCAGCCUUGAAGUGCUGGAAACGGAAAAUCUGAAGGAGUAUGGAUAUAACGAUGAAUACAAAUUGACGGAAAGACUCAAUCUUCUGUUUCGUAUGGGGAUGGACGAUUUCGGAGAGUUCAGGUCUAGCUGUGGUGAUGAAAAUGCGGAUACGGACUUGGGUGAUGAUUUGUUUGGAGAUUUUGUAUGCGAUGAAUGUGAGAGUGGGAUUUGGGGAGAAAGAUAUCAUUGUAAAACCUGCCCAGAUUUUGAUCUUUGUAAAUCUUGUUAUUCAACAACAACCCAUCCACACGAGUUUGAGUUUAUAGAGGAAGAAAAUGAUUAUGAUGAUGAUGAUGAUGAUGAUGAUGAUGAUGAUGAUGAUGAUGAUGAGCAUGAAAUGGAUUGUAAACAAAGUUGAAAGAAGUAAAUUUGCGUGUUUCAACUUUGAACGAAACGGAAAAAUCAUGACGUGCAGUUAUACGCAGAGACUUGACAUGGAAUGAGCCCAUCAAAUUAGUGUGUAAUAUUGAAAUACAUGUAUUUGAGCGCAUCUGUGUAGAUAACUCUUGGAGAACACGUAACAGGGUGAAAAUAAAACAUGAUAGCCUAGCCCCUUUCAUGAUAUUUCCUACAUGUUUAUAUAGCUCCAAUUUUUUUUUACGUUGAUAAGAGUUAUCUCUCUUUGAUUACUUAUUUUCUUUCUAUCAGUAAGCAUGUCAGAUAAUAGUACAUUAAUUGAUAAGUUGACCGACAGUUCCACAAUCUUGUUUUUCGAUCACUUGACGUUAAAUUUAAAAAAUCAGUGUUCCAGUAA
rnacentral:sRNA from 1 species